GCCGGGUGCGGUGGCACAUGCCUGUAGUCCCAGCUACUCGAGAGACUGAGGCGGGAGGAUCGCUUGAGCCCAAGGGUUCUGGGCUGUAGUGCGCUAUGUGGAUUGGGUGUCCACGCUAAGUUCAGCAUCAAUAUGGUGACCUCCCGGGAGCGGAGGACCACCAGAUUGCCUACGGAGGGGUGAACCGGCCCAGGUCGGAAACAGAGCAGGUCAAAACUCCUGUGCUGAUCAGUAGGGGGAUCACACCUGUGAAUAGCCACUGCACUGCAGCCUAGGCCUGGGCAACAUAGCGAGACCUAGUCUCU
rnacentral:SRP_RNA from 1 species